rnacentral:rRNA from 1 species
GACGAACCGUGCGAACGUUGUUCGGAAUCACUGGGCUUAAAGGGCGCGUAGGCGGGCUGCCAAGUCAGGGGUGAAAUCCUCCGGCUUAACCGGAGAACAGCCUCUGAUACUGGCGGCCUCGAGGGAGGUAGGGGCGUGCGGAACGGGUGGUGGAGCGGUGAAAUGCGUUGAUAUCAUCCGGAACUCCGGUGGCGAAAGCGGCGCGCUGGACCUCUUCUGACGCUGAGGCGCGAAAGCCAGGGGAGCGAACGGG